rnacentral:rRNA from 1 species
GACGAACGCUGGCGGCGUGCUUAACACAUGCAAGUCGAACGGAAAGGCCCUGCUUUUGUGGGGUGCUCGAGUGGCGAACGGGUGAGUAACACGUGAGUAACCUGCCCUUGACUUUGGGAUAACUUCAGGAAACUGGGGCUAAUACCGGAUAGGAGCUCCUGCUGCAUGGUGGGGGUUGGAAAGUUUCGGCGGUUGGGGAUGGACUCGCGGCUUAUCAGCUUGUUGGUGGGGUAGUGGCUUACCAAGGUUUUGACGGGUAGCCGGCCUGAGAGGGUGACCGGCCACAUUGGGACUGAGAUACGGCCCAGACUCCUACGGGAGGCAGCAGUGGGGAAUAUUGCGCAAUGGGCGGAAGCCUGAUGCAGCAACGCCGCGUGCGGAAUGACGGCCUUCGGGUUGGAAACCGCUUUCGCCUGUGACGAAGCGUGAGUGACGGUAAUGGGUAAAGAAGCACCGGCUAACUACGUG